AGCGUGCACGGUGGAUGCCUUGGCAGCCAGAGGCGAUGAAGGACGUUGUAGCCUGCGAUAAGCUCCGGUUAGGUGGCAAACAACCGUUUGACCCGGAGAUCUCCGAAUGGGGCAACCCACCCGUUGUAAGGCGGGUAUCACCGACUGAAUCCAUAGGUCGGUGAGGCGAACGCGGGGAACUGAAACAUCUAAGUACCCGUAGGAACAGAAAUCAAUUGAGAUUCCCUGAGUAGCGGCGAGCGAACGGGGAUUAGCCCUUAAGCUGAUGACGGAUUAGGAGAACGGUCUGGGAAGGCCGACCAUAGUGGGUGAUAGUCCCGUAUCCGAAAAUCUGAUUCAGUGAAAACGAGUAGGUCGGGGCACGUGUAACCUUGACUGAACAUGGGGGGACCAUCCUCCAAGGCUAAAUACUCCUGGCUGACCGAUAGUGAACCAGUACCGUGAGGGAAAGGCGAAAAGAACCCCGGCGAGGGGAGUGAAACAGAACCUGAAACCGUGUACGUACAAGCAGUGGGAGCCUUCGUAAGAGGGUGACUGCGUACCUUUUGUAUAAUGGGUCAGCGACUUAUUUUCAGUGGCGAGCUUAACCGAAUAGGGGAGGCGUAGCGAAAGCGAGUCUUAAUAGGGCGUCUAGUCGCUGGGAAUAGACCCGAAACCGGGCGAUCUAUCCA
rnacentral:rRNA from 1 species